AGAUCCCUGCGGUGUGCGUGAUUACGGAUUUGUGUCUUGAGCCAAUACUCGUCCUCUUAGGAGGCUUACUCCAGCCCGAUGGUGGUGGCGCUUAGUCACUCGAGUUAAGGAUUGGGAGGCCUCCGCUUUUUUAGUAGAGCGGGUCAAGACCGUCCUGACACGGCAUUGCGGGGUUUUU
rnacentral:other from 1 species